AAGCGUCCACUGGGAGGAUAACACUGAACCUUCUAUCUCCUUCAGUUUGCUGUUCUGUGAUACAGGUAUUACUUCCUACUCAGCUAAACGUCUUAAAAUCUUGCUUUAUCCUAAAGUUCUAAGGACAUAAAAGAGCUGAGCAGAAGAUCAGAGGGUGCCAACUGCAGGAUGGCUUCUAUCCUAUUAACACUUACAGGUGGUCUGGCAGGUCUCUUUGUAGGUGCUGUCAUAAAUCUUAUCAAGUUCCUGACCGGCCUUUAAAAUGACAAUAGGGAUAUGGGAGCCCAGAAUACAUACAAAGAGCAUUCAAAGAAAUACAAGUGAAAUCUACCAUGUAAUUAAGCAAAUCUAAAGAGCAUCUUUCACUGGAACCCAAAGAAGUCCUCCACCUUCUGGGCUUUCAUAAGCCAAGAUCUCCCUUUCCUGACAAAUAAGGAAAUAUUUUACCCAUUGCUUGUACCCUGAACCUUAUGAUUUCAUUCAGUUUGAUAAAUCAUAAUUUAUUGAAA